AUGCGGCCUCUUGGACCUCCACCCAGACCGGCCCAACCUCCCCUAGGCCCAACAUCUCCCAAUCUAACCCUAGCCCACUCAACCUCUCUCUGCCCGAUCCCCUCUCUCCCCUUCGUUCUCCUCCUGGCGCCGCCACUCGCUGGGAGAGAGAGGAGCAGAGCCCUCGGCUCGAUCCCGAUCCCCUCGACCCCUUUCCUCCCAAUCCCACGCAACCCCGCCGCCGAGCACCACCGUCGCGCUGCACCGGUCACGUCCAUCUCCCUGACCCGCGCCUCGACCUCCUGCUUCCUUGACUCCAGCCGCCCCUGCCGGCGACCAGGAGGCCACUGUCGUCCGUCUCCUCCACCUGGAGCUUGCGCAGCCGCGCGCCCAGAGGUCGCCGCCCGCUCCUCCCUCUACCCCGCUUCUGCGCCGCCGUUCUCCAUGGCCGUUGCCGGCCAAGUUCAGAGGACUACCGCUCCACCUCGCCGCCAUGGCUGCUGCCUGUUUGUCGCCCAUGGACCAGAGCCGCCCUUCCCCGUCGUCUCUCCAUGUCAGCGGAGUCCCUGCGCGCCAAGUCCCUUAACCGGAGCGCCGCGCCUACGCCCCUGCUUCCUCCACGUCACCGGCGAGCGUCGCGCCAUCUUCUUCACUUCCUGCCAUCGAGCUCGUUGUGCCCUUGCUCCGACCUCUGCUUCGCCUAUGCACCACCGGCCUUCAAGCUUUAUGCCCGCCCCGGCCAUCAUCUCCUGCUGCCUUGAGCAGCCCCUUCACGACCGCAACCGAGACCUUUGUUCUGCUAUGUUUUGGACACGCCGAGAACCGAGGCCCUUUUGGUGCUACUUCGCUUUGGAGGCGCCAAGAUCCUCUCUCACAAGUGUACGACUACAUGGUGAUUCGUGUGUACCACUACUAUCGCCCCAAGACGUUGGAGUCAUCAAGUACCCCUCUGAACGAACGUGA
rnacentral:rRNA from 1 species